rnacentral:misc_RNA from 1 species
AGAAUUUUGUUUUGAUUGUACGCCUUGGGGCUUGGCUCUUUGUACAGUGUUUAUAAUCUUUGUUCUGUGAUUCACCUUCUGUAGUUUUGUAGGAGUAGAAUAGUGAAGUGAGGAAUCCUUAUGAGAAACGCAUCGUAAUUAGAAAAUCUUAUGCAAAUUUCUGCGUCUAAAUUGCGCAUCUAAUGGUAACAACUUUCCCAAGUAGAUUGAGGAUUUGUUAUAAACAAUAUCCUUCCUCGUUUUGUUUAUGCCGCGUAUAGUCUUGUUAAAAAGUUGUUAUAGUGGGGCAUAAAUAAUGACCCUGGUUAAUUAUCAUUUGGGGACUUGAGGGCUCUUAAGAAAUUGAUAAUAAAACCACCCAAAAAUGAGUGAGAAAACUGGGAAAACUUUAGUCGGUGCCGGCGGUACCUCAAUACCGAACAAAAUGCGGCUUUAUGCUACGUGGGUCGAUCGCACCCCACCAAACUGCAUUCCCAGGCUCUGCACUUUAACUUUCACCAGACUUCACAUCCUGAGACCUCUCGGUUCAGAUUUAGCCAGUGUGUCUAUAGCUGUUAAAAUGCAGUCAAGUAAACGCACAUUGAGGUCACAGGAACUGUUGGUGCCCCCUAAUGGUUUACUCGAUACACCCCUUGAUAUCACUUUUAGUGUGCAAUAUCCUCAUUUUCUUAAGAGGGAAGGUAAUAAAUUGCAUAUUUUGCUGCAGAGGAGGAAGAGGUACAAGAAUCGAACUAUGCUUGGGUUUAAGACUUUGGCUGAAGGUGUUAUUAGGAUGGAUCAGGUACUACAGAGACCUCUGGACAUCGAGCUCGACUUAACCACAGAGGGAGGCGGUAAAGACAAAGUCUCUGGACUGGUGGCUCGUCUAUACAUUCUUCAGGUAAGCUCUAACCCGGUUGAUCAACAAGAGCACAAACCUGAUAGAGAACACGAUUUCAGUGACGAAGACGAUGACAUAUCGUCGGGAGAAGAAGAAGUGGGCGAUCUGUCGGAUUGCGAGCCGAUUCGCACGAAAAUGCCGCACACUCGUCAUAAUUUAAAACAGAGAUUCGUCGCGUUACUAAAGAGGUUUAAAGUGCCAGAUGCAGAAGGUGGUCGCGGUCCGGAUCUGGAUAAUCCGAGCGAUAUCCAGGCGUUGUUUCACGAGUUGGAGUCGUUGAGCUGCGACGAGGAUUCCGGCGCGGAACAAGACACCAUGUCUAUAUCGAGCACUCCGAAACCGAGUUUACGUCCAUUUUUUAGUAGCAGUAGAAGUUUGUUGGAGUCAAAUGCUGUUCCUUAUAUUGAGGCUGAACCGAUCGGAGACGAGAAGACUGCAUCCGGAAGCGACGGCAACACCGAUCUCCUCACCGACCCUGAGGCCCAAAGCGACCCCCAAACCGGCUCUCCACCGCGCGAGCACUACUCCUCAAAAAAACACGGCAACGACAACGAUUUAACUGUAAUGUUCCAAGACUUGAGCGAGAAAAAGUCAAAACUGUUUAGGACUUCCGCUUCCGGUGUCAAAAAGAAAAACUCGCUGAGCGUCAGUUCCGACACGCCCACGUUAGAAGUAACUGUGCGCAAAGGUUUCCUGGACCAAAUCUCGAGGCUACUGCCCACGGAGGAAAACUCACUUCCGGAGUGUAUCACGUUGAUUUCCGGUCCGGAAAACGUCGCCUCGGCCAUAUCGAAUAAGCUCGGGUCCGUUCAGCCGAAUUUUCGGGUUUUUCAGCCAACUUCCCAUAUGGAAGUUAAGGCCGUUCUAGUCGCUUUAUUCUCGAAGAUACAGAAAUAUUGCAACAGUUGUGCGAAACCGUCGACUCCAAUAAAACUCCUUCUGGUGGGAGGAGAUUCUUUGGUCGGUUGGUUCGUGCGGCCGUUUGUGGAAUCGUUAUCCAGUAAACCGCCGGAAUGGUUGUCGUUUAUUUCCGUCUUUAUCGCACCGCUGGGCGGUUGCGGGGUGUGUCGACAUUUGGCUGCUCUGGAUCCCGCUUACUUCUCACUCUUUCCCAACGAAAUCGAUACGAAACCCGACGAGAUUGCUCAGAGAUUAAUUAGAUAUACGUCAGCAUCACCCGCUGCCCCGGCAGCCCACUUGCCCAUCGGCGAAGCCAUGUUAACCUGUUACGAUGAAACUAGUCAGCUCUUUAUUCCUUUUAUACACGAAGUUCGUGUCGGUCCGGCGGAACAAACGAUCUCAACGUCAGUAGACAUGGACGAGGUAUGCCUGAGUCCUCCUUCGGCCCCCUCUCUCACUCCACCCUCUUCGCCCAACGUGCAGAUCAGGGAGUCCCCUUGGGAACCUUUGGAACUCCAAAUUGACUAUUGGCAAAUGCCGAAGUGUAAUGACAAUAUUAUUAAGACUGAUAAGGAUAAACCGAAACAAGAUGGAAAAAUAUCACUUAAAGGAGUGUUUCGGGGAUUGCAAGCCACCCCGAGCAACGUAUCAGGCCUAUGUGUAAAUAUUUAUAUAACCAGCAAGGAAAAGAAGCAGAAAAUAAUGCGAUUAGGUAAGAAAAAAGAGAAAGAAAGAGAACCAGAGCCCCGUUGCCAGAAUGUGGAGGGAGUGUCCAGGCUGAUAUGUUCCGCCCGGGCCUCGCAUACUACUCCGAUGAGAGUUACUAUCGACGGGGUGGAAUUCAACGGUGUCAAGUUCUUCCAACUGAGCUCCACUUGGCAGACCCACGUGAAACAGUUGACCGUCUCGCUGAUCGGAAUCCCGCUGGCCAGUACCGAGAUCAAUUGAACCGACGCCGACGCUUACUACGCUGCUCGCACGAGACUACUCCCCCUUUCUAUAUCUUUAAAUUGCUCUUUAAUAAGAUAUUAAAUGCUCAACGAUAUCGGACGUGUUAAUAAAUUGAUUAAACUAUGGGAAUGUGAUCGAUGUGGUAGGUUUAGUGUGGGAGUGUUUAGGUUUAUUUUUUUUUUGUAAGAAGGUUGUUUAUGUGAGGCAUCGAAAUCUGGAUAAGAAAUGGUUUCGUUUUUUGUUUGUGUCUAUGGAAAUUAGGCAAAAAAAAUCCUUUAAAUUACACUUUUUUUGAGGCAUGUCUUAAAAAAAUAUAUACGUAUACAGUAGUGGAAAAAAGUUUGGAAACUUUUUAAGAUGAUAAGUAUCUUUGGUUUCUGUCUAUUAUUGCAGCCUACACAUUUAUUUGGAAUCUGACUUAAUAUUAAUUUAUUUCUUAAAAAAAAAAUCAUUUUGUUUAGAGUUUUUGCUUUUAAAUAAGGAAUUUUUAAGUAAAGGUUGGAAAUAAGUAUGGAACUCUUAUUAUCUCAUAAAAAAUUAAGUUAUAUAAUAUUCUUUAGCAUCUAAGACUGCCCUGGCAUCUUUUACCCAGAGAGUCAACUAAUUUUUGUUUUUGCAAAGGAAUUUGCAUUCCUUUUAAUUUUACGAUAUUAAACAAAUGAAUCCUAUAAAAGCAAAAUCCAACAAAUCUACUUUUAGAAAAUUUUAGGAAAUGAGAAAAAACGAUAAGGAGAAGUUAAAAGCUCAAUAUCUUUUUAAGUUUCUUUAUAUACAUAAAGCAAGUAAUCAAGCAUCUAAUUUUGAAUAAUUCAACCUGGAAAAACCUCUUAGUGUAAAGUUAUUUGAAAUUAAUUUUUUUUUGUCGGGUUUUAAAACUGACCAUAGUGGAUUUGUCGUAUUUUGUAAAAAAAAAACUUUUGUUUUUGAAAUACGUAUUUUAUUACGGAAAAAUUUAACAAACAUAGAUACUUAUACUGACAUUAUUUAAAAAAUACUUUAAACUAACAAAUCACUUGAAUAAGGCAUGUUUUUACACAAAUUCUCUUCAUUUUCUGGAAUUUCCAUGUUCUCCAGAUUUUCCAAUUCGUAUUUUUCAAGAAUAUUCUUAUAGUAUUCCAAUUCAUUCAGUUCUUUUCAUUUAUCUGCAUAAUGUCUGGUGAGGAGUGUUUGGACAUCCUUUAGCUUUUUAGGAUUUUGCCGCAUACCGUUUAGGACUAAUACUGGUUUUAUGUCGGUUGGUGACUUGCCCUUUUUUAAGACUGAUUUGAAAACACCCAGAUCUGAUUUAUAGGACUGCUCUCCCCGAAUCGUAACCUGUCCAAAACUAGUGCGAUUCAAUAUGUACCUCUUGCAUGCAUUAAAUGAGAAGUGCCAAUGUCAAGUAGGUUUUACUGUUUCCUUACAAGCUUUCUUCCAUAAACUUUACCGUGAUCAGCAAAAAUAUUUAGGUACUGUUCUAUGGAGACUAAGACUUCUUCUUUUUUUAUAUUUUUUUGAAUUCGAGCUAACACACGAUCUGCAGGGAGAAAAGAAUGAACAACUGGAAAGAUAAUUUCUAAUUUUGAGACUGACUGAGGAGCCUUCUGACUAAGCCACAUGGUACAUAUUAUAAUUAAAGUAGAGUUUUUAUUCUGACCUGCACAUCCGUCAGCAACAAGUCUUACUUUAUUUCUAUUCCUAAGGUCUAGUUGACAAAGUUGGUAAAAAACAGCACUUGCUAUUUCAUUUGAUCCCUUAUGGUAUUCGUCUUCAGUCCAAGCAUAAAUUGACAGAUUAUUUUUAGUGAGGGGUGAAUGUGAACUGCCAGUAAUAAUGGUAAAAUUGUAAAUAUAAAGCUGGCGGCUAUAAUAAACUGAUUGGUCAGGAAUCUUUGGUAGGACUUGAUUCUUCUGGCAAUCAAAUGAUAUUGUAAUUAGUUCAGGUUUUUCUUCUUUUAAAUGGUCAAAGAAAGCCUUGGCGCGUAAUUUAUGUACAUGUCUUUCCGUGAUUAGUUAAUUUUUUUUAUUUUCGUCUUUCUCAUUUUUAAUUUUUUCUGUUAAUUGAAGACACACGGAAUACACAUCAGUGCGGGGUGAACCAAAGCCAAUGUUGUAAUUGGUAUUAAAUAUCAUUGCAAAAUAACUUUUUUUUUUAACAAGGAGGGUUGGUAUUUCGUUCAUUUUUUGACAGUAUAGUCUCCACAUCUUUGAAAUACUAAGUGUUGAGGGUAAAUAUUUGCGGUUAGUUCUGUUUUGGCAAUAAUGAGACUCGAUUACCUUAAAACUUUCAAUGAAUUUCAUUACUGACUCUUUUUUCGCACUAUAUUUUCAAGAAAUUCUGUCAAGAUUCUUUAAACCUCUUUAAAACCCCAUUAAUCCGAUCUUUACCAACUGCCAAAAUUUUAGUAAAUGCAAUCCUGCAAACUGGAACCAGUUUUAAAGUAUUGGCCUUGGGAAUAUUAUAAAUAACUGAAAAACUUCUUUUAGACGCGCCCUUUUCAUUUUGGGUCCUUUUGCGUUUAAUAUCUCUAAUCAGGCAGUGCUUUAAAAUUAGGUUGUCUUGCUCAAUUUUAGUUUCGUGAAGAUGAAAAGUUUUAUGAAAAUUUGAAACAUCGUACAUUGACAAUGAACUGCAACGAUACGAUUUUGUCGCGUGUUUACAUUUUGGAUACUCCGGCAAACUUUUAUUCUUGUAUCUAGAAUAUUGAAUAUAUAAGCACUGUCAAUAAGUUAAAAAAAAAAACUUACCUCUCAUUUUGUUCUCGUUUUCUCUUCCAAGUUUCUGGUUUAGCCACUUUUUCCUUGCUAAGAGAGGCAUCGUAGGUUUUCAUAGAGUUUUAGGCACUUAAAACUUAUUAUUUAAUAAAAAAAUUGGCAAUAAUUAAAUAAAAGUACAAAAUACUAUUGUUCGAGUCCGCGAACAACGUUAUACUAACAAACAUUGUAAAAAAUUCGCGCGUAAAAUUAUUAUUGUUAUGUGGACGCCGGGAGCGCCGUGAUUGGUCGAAAUGGAUUUGGCGGAUUUUGAAACUAUAGCCAAUAUUCUACUUUAAAUUUGAACGUAUUUUGACGGUUUUUGAUACCACAAACCUAUUUAAAUCUGCAGAUUUUUUUUAUGUAAACAGUUCAAAACAAUAGCCUCGUCUUUGACCAAAAGUGGAUUUGUCGGGUUUUGCUUCUAUAAACUUUCCAUAAAGACCUCCAUUAUGUAGAUGGUUUCUUAUGCUUUAACCCGUACCCGUUAAUAGGAAAUUGUUCCGAGAUUUCAUUUAUAAUUUACCUGAAAUUAGUUUUUUUGGGGUCAAGUUUCGAGGUCCUUAAAAUAGUUUUUUUAAAUUCCGAAAUUAGUCUUACGAGGUCUUCGGUGCAUCCCUUGCAUCACCACAACUAUCAUUUUUUUACAAUUAUUUUCAUUACAGCACUUUUAGGAAUAUUGAGAGAUUCUGCAACCAACGACCUUUUUCUUCCACCACAAACGGUGUCUUGGCAUGAUAAGUUAAUUAAUUAAUUGGUUAACACAAUAUUUAAUCAGUAGAAAUAGCCACCAUAAUUUUUUUUUAAUACAAUUCUUUUUUUUUAGACUUAUGAUUAUGUAUUAGAAAAAGACAAACUUAUGCCAAUAACAAUGUGUAACGCAAAGAAAGAUAUAAGCAUAAACAAAAUAAUAUUAUUAAAUUUAAUAUCUGAUGUUUUGUCUUAAACAGAAGUACGGAGCAUCAACUUUUUUUUUAAAAAACAAUCCUGGCAACUAAAGAUAAUGUGUUAUAGAAAAUGACAGAUUUAUGCCAAUCACACAAGACAAAGAAAGAUAUGGUAAAAUGUUUUUUUUUUAACAAAAUAUAAUUUUUAUUAAAUUUAAAAUCCGACGUUUCGGCUUUGUCAAGAGCCAUCAUUAUAUUUUUCCAUGAAGUUUUAAGAGUAAGAGUCCCGAAUCUUAAACUUUGGAAGUUGGACGCGUACCAAUUGCACAAAACUAAAAAAUACUUUAACAAUGCCUUUUUUUUAUAAAUUAUACCAUAUGACAAAAUGGACUUUGGCAAUUAUUUUCUUAUGAAUUUGUACGGAAAAAAUAUUUUGAAUUAUUUACGGUUUUGUUUUUACACAUUGUAAAUCUCAAAUUUUAAGCUUGAAUAGUUAGACGCGUACAAAUUGCACAAAAGUACAAAAAUUUUAAGCUUUGAUAGUUGGUCGCGUACAAAUUGCACAAAAGUAAAAAAUUUACUUUGACAAUGAUUUUUUUAUAAAUUAUAAUAAAAUAAAUACAGCAGACAGGGAACUUGGACGGGUACAAAUUGCAUGGCAUUUUUUUAAAAAUUAAUUACAGUAAUUUUUCUCCUACACAUUCUCGUAGUUUCAAAUUGUGAACUUUGGAAGUUGGACGCAUACACAUUACACAAAAUUACAAAAUUACCUUUGACAAUGAUUUUUUUAUUAUGAAGUUAUACUAUAGUAAAAUUUGCAUGGAAAAUAUAUUUUGAAUGAUUGAGUCAUGUUUCUACACAUUGUAAGAGUCCCAAAUUUGAAGCUUUGAUAGUUGGACGUGUACAAAUUACACAAAACUAACAAAUUGACUUUAGCAACAAUUUUUUUUAUAAAUUAUACCAUACAAGAAAAUAAAUCCAGCAGAGCAGAAAGUUCGAUGGGUGCAAAUUACAUCGAAAAAAAUACUUUGAAUAAAUUAGAGUCGUCUUUAAUUUACUCAUUGUAAAGGUUCCAAAUUUUAAACUUUGAAAGUUGGACGGUUACAAAUUGCACAAAACUAAAGCAUUUAACAAAAUAAAUGCAGCAGACCAGGAAGUUGAACGGGUACAAAUUGCAUGGAAAAAUAUUUCGAAUUCAUUACAGUCAUCUUUAUUUUACUCAUUGUCAAAGUUGCAUAUUUUAAACUUUGAAAGUUGGGCGGUUACAAAUUGCACCAAACUAAAAAAUUCACUUUAAGGAUGAUUUUUUAAUAAAUUAUACUAUAUCAAAAAAAUAAAUAAAGCAAACCAGGAAGUUGGACGGGUACAAAUUGCAUAAAAGUAAGGAAUUGAUUUUGACUUAUUAGAUAUUCGUGGAAUUGUUAAGACUUAUUCAGCAAUUGGGUUAGAAAGGGAGCUUAAAACCUAAAAGGCUUUAUGGUUAUAUAAAACUAUACUGAAUCCAAAGCUCACCUGCAAGUUAUAGGGUUUUAUUUGUAACUUUUGUUUUGUUUCUACACUGUUCUUCAAAAAUAGUUUAUUUUUUUAUAUUAUCGUUUUGUACUCUGUUUUUCCAUUUUUCAUGAAUUUUUUCUCUGUUCAUUUUAAAGUGGAUACUGAAAAACAGGAAAAAAUAUUUUGAAUCACAAUAAAUAAAUACCCUUAAAAAUACUUAGGAAUGCCAUUUUUUAGUACAUAACCUCAGAUACCUCUAAAUCUUACUGUAAAUUAAUUUCCAUGUAGCAGGGAAAAAGUUGCAAAUAAUACAAUUUUUCCAAAAUUGUUGGUAUCAGUCUGUAUAUUACGGUAUGUUUUAAUAAAAGCUCCUCCGACAUUUUUUCUAAAUAACUAAUAAUAUAAUCCAUUAUAAUAUAAUAUACUUAAUAUAAUUAAAUGCCAAACUAGCAAAUGCUUCUAGCUUCACCCCUUUUAAGCUUUGCAUCCCUUGCGAACAGGAAAGAGUAGUUUUUUACUAUAAUAGGCUCUAUUUAAGUAAUACAAUAUAUUAUUCUUAACAAUAGUGAAUAGUGUUUUUUGCUUUAAUCCAGUUCAAAGGAUACAAUAAUAAUUAUAAUCUUAAUUUGCUCAAGUGAAAACAUCCUAUACCAUAAAAUUUCCAUAAUUUUUUUUUAUCCAGAUUACGAUGCAAUUCAACCAUAAUCUUAUGAACGAUAAUCGAACGAAUGUCUCGUUAUAUUUUGUGAUAUUUUCAAUCCUGAAUCGCGCAUAUCUUACUCGAUAUGAAAAUAUAGGAGGAAACUCUCGUGUUAUUCACCUUAUUAAUAAUAUAUUUAUAUCGUAGUAUGUACUAGACACGCCUAUUCGUUGAAUGAUAUUAAAUAAGUUCGCAUGGGUGCAAUAUUUAGCCAAAAAAAAAAGAGAAAAUACAUCCAUUGUGCGCAAUAAGUAGUAUUCCAGAAAAAAAAAUGUGUUAUUAUGUAUAUGUACUAAUUUAUGUGCUAGCUUUUAAGGUAACGUUUUUUUGUAUAUAUGCGAUGUGUUGAAUAAAAAGGACGCAGUGAGUCACA